GCACUCGCCGGCGAGGCUGCACGGCGCCGGUUUCAUUGCUAAAAUCCGACGGACUUGUUGCAGAACUCGUUUUUUUUGUCGGGAAAGGGCUUCCCCGUGUAACUUUACAGCAGUUAUCGUAGAUAAGACUUGCAAAUUACAGAUGUGGACGGUGAGGGAACGGGAAUUUCACUGAAAGCGCCUGAGAACCAGUAAGAGACCUGCAACAGCUUUGUGCUCCACUGGCGAAUGCUUCCUCCCCUAAUACACAUUAUGUGUGCUUGGAGACACAAGGAGUAAGAUACAGCCCCUCAAGGGACUCGUCAUAGGGAGAGGACACAGCUUUGGGAAUAAAGGGGCCACAAAGGAGGAGAGAGGAGUUUGCUGAAACUUCCCAAGCUCCCAUUCCAGCAGUUCCUGAAGGAUUCAUUUCUCUCUGAGGAUCUCAUGAGGUGGCUUAGCAGCUAGAAUCUCUUCCUUAACAGUGGGAAGAACAACUCCUGGAAAUUUAGGUCGACUUUGACUGGAUUUAAAAGAAAGCUGUACAAUUCCACUUCUGUAUAUACAACCAAAGGAAAUGAGAUGUGCAUACCCAUGUUCAAUGAAGCAUUAUUCACAAUAGCCAAAAUGUGGAACCAAUCCUUAAACAAAAGGAAAACAGAAAAUCUGCUCAAGUCCCUGCAGGCACCUGAGAAAAUCACAACCCACACUUGCGAACCCCUAGGAGACCUAAAGCUGUGGUUUUACAAAUAAACAGAUAAGUAACAUUCCUACUCUUUCCUAUAGGUACUCAAUCUUCUUAACAACUCCCAUCCCACACAGGUUUGCAUCCCCAGCAGAUACAUAUGGCUAUGUGGUCACCCAUUCGAUCAGCCUAUAAAAGACUUGUCUUAUUUGAUAUUGUGAAACCCAUGGUUAUCAGUGUAUAUGAAAAUGUUUGGUUCAGGGGUCAAUGUACAAUAUGACAAGCAAAGUCCUCUAAUACACAGUUAUAUAAAAUCACUCACCUGAGAGCCAAGUGGACAAUUGGCCUUAUAUUGGCUGGAGUUGGAGCCCCAGAGGGAAAAUUUGCCUAUUAUUAGGCAACUCUUCAAAACUUUACUUAUUCGUUUCUAAACACUGUCUCAUAAAAUGGGGGAUGCUUUAGAUGAAUUAAGAUUAGCACUAGAUUACUUAUUCGUUGAAAAUUAGCACUAGAUUUCUUAUUGGUUGAACAAGGAGGAGUGUGCACCAUAAUCAAUAUAACCUGCUGCAGUUAUGUAAACACCUCAGGUCACAUAGAAGAAGAUAUACAGAAAAUACAUGAACAAGCUGUGUGGUUGCGUAAAUAUAACCAAGGCACCAAUCCCAACUGUAUCUGGUCAGCCAUUAGAAGCACCCUCCUGAGUCUCACUUGGUUGUUGCCCUUCCUAGGAACUUUGAUAGUUGUCUUAUUAUUAAUCUUUGGCCCUUGCUUGUUUAAAUUCUUGGUAAAGUUUGUGUUUUUUAGAUUACAACAAUUCCACAUAAAGAUGAUACUGACACAAAGCUUCCAAUCCAUCCCGUCUUCUGAACCGGGAAAUAAAGACACCCUGCCUUUAGGUGUCUUUAGAUCUAGAUCAGGCAUCUAGAGAUUUUUACUCCUCCAAUACUUGGCAGGGUCUAUGCCCGUAGACUCAUCAGGAUACCAUGUAAAUGAGGACCUCCCUUGGUACCCCAGAGGCCAACUGUAGACCCUUAUGAGAAAAUCCUGUCCCCAAAAUGAACAUCCACUGUCAGCAGGAAGAAGUUACAGAAGACCAGCCUUUGCCCUUACGAUUAAGGGUCCUCUUGUAAGUAGAGAGGGGAAUGUUAGGAAAGCAGGAGCCUAGGUGAUCCAGAGUGACACCAUUUUAAAAUAAACUCCACCUGAAAACUAGCAAGGCAUCUGCACACAUCUGUUUAGCAAGUAUAUACUUCUGUAACUGGAAUAAAAAGCGUUAUUUUAGAAUAUGCCUAUAGUUUGUAAUAAUUAGCCGAGGGAAAAAAAGUUCACAUUGGUGUAGGAAAAGUGCCCUAAUGGUCAUGGGUAAUAAUGGGACCGUGGUUCUGGUCAGUGAUUUGAUGGAAGGGGUGUAGAUAAUAUAUUGUUGUAAAUAAUAAAAAUAAAAAAUUGUUGUAAGUAAUAAAAAUAAAAUAAUAUUGUUGUAAGUAAUAAAGUAGGAGAAAUAUUUGGUCUUUUGCUUUUGGGUUAGUGCAACAGUAGUACCAUUACUUGGAGGAGAAGUUAGAGAAGGACAAGAAUAGGCUUGAAUAAGAUGAGUGAGAAGAGAGAAAAAUUCCGUAAGUGGAGAUGGCCAGGGAACACCAGGGCAGCAGAAUCUAACUCUGAAUUUAAUGCUGUUGUCUGUUCAUAUUGCACUGCGCUGUAAUCUCCCUAUCUUUCCUAAACCAUUGGCAAAGUCUGCUAUCCACUGGGGCCUUGGGUCGGUGGUGCUUUGGGAAAUACCAGAAGAGGGAAAGUACGGCAAAUGUGCAGUGUCACAGAUGAUAGGAGGAAAGCUGGCCAGUGGGAUGAUUAAAACAAUUUCGGUGGGAGUGGGAAUUCAGACCAUGUAAAUGGUCUGAAUUAAGAAAAUUUCAAGAAACAAAAAAUGUUUCUAAUGAGCCAAAGUGAAAGCUCUUCAUGAUUUCUUUAUAGAGGCUCUCUAGUGCUUGUCCUAAUUUCCUGAAAUCUCAUGGGUAUCUUACUCUCCUGGUGCCCGCCUCAAACAUUCACUGUAGCAAUUAUAUGAGCAGCCUAGAGAAUCCCAAUCCCAGUGGUCUUGCUCCCUGGAUCUACUUUCUCUUAAAAAUCAUUCCCCUAAGUUUCCGUCACUUGGUUGAAGUUUAGUAGAUAUCUCCACAUCUCCAGCUAGAACAGCACCAGAAUUUCAGGACUAGGGCAAUAGAGUCUGAUAUUAAAUUCUAUUUCUAUCUAUCUAUCUAUCAUCUAUCUAUCUAUCUAUCUAUCUAUCUAUCUAUCUAUCUAUCUAUCUACAGAACAAUUUGUGGGAUAGUAGCUUUGGGGUCCCAGAUCUAGGAUGGGCCUGGUCCUCCAUGCUGGUUCUCCUGGGUGAUAUUUCUGUUAGUUUGAACAGUAAUCACACUUUUAUUACUGUUUCAUCUUUUUUUUUUCACUCUUAGACUGAUUUUAUCAUGUGUAUAAAACAUACACACACCUACAUCUCAAGGAUAAACAUUAAUCCUUGAAAAAUAUGUGGUCUAAAACUAUAUUGAGGAGAGAAAGAUAGGACACUUUAAUUGCCACAUGAUUAACACGAGGUCACCACACAGCUUUCACAAAUCUACAAGUCAUUCUAUUUAGGCUGAGUCAAGUUCUCCCUUGGGCCAGCCAGAGCACAAAUAAUGGAGCAAUGUGACUCUUCAAUGACAGAUCUCUGAUUUCCAGAAAAGAGACUUUGAAAUACCCAAUUCUAGUAAAUAUGCAAUUAAAUUUCCAGCUAAAUGACCUUUGCUCCUGUAGUCUUCAUCUUGGGGAAGGGAAAGAAGUCUUAUUCUGUUUAAUAGUUUGAUUUUUAUAAUAGGGUUUGUCUCUGUUAUAAAUCUUGUUUGAUAUUUAAAAUGUUAGCUAAGAGAAAACUUCUGUUUGUUUUUAUUUAGUGGGAAGAAACUAACCCUCAUUGAGUGCCUAGUUAACAUCAGGCACUUUGUACACAUAAUCAAUUGAAUCUUGACCACAACCCUGUGAGAUCCAUGGAUGAUUCUGGGUUUAGUUCUUUGUGAGACUGCCAGAAACUCCCAGAGGCUGGAUCUAUGCAUAAAGAGAGGCCAUUGGAGAGAAUGUCUACUGAAUUGCUGAAGACAAUUGCUACCGAGAAUAGAUCGUAACUUAGGAAGAAACAAUUCAGUACCAAAAGAGUAAUUGGAGCCCUUCUGGAAAACACUAGUAAGGUGAAAAAUGAGAAGAUUAAAUAAGCCAUGGGAAGAUUUUUUAAAAUGACAUGAAACUCCAAGGGUAAAAAGUAGGCUGGGAAAUCUUAGGAUGGUGAACCAUCAUGUUUCCUGAAUGUGAAUCCUGUACCUGGUUUGACUGUAGUCACCCCUUCUCCAACACUCUCCACGAUGCCGGCUGCCUCAUGGCCUAAAAUCACAGGAAGUGGGGUCACCAUGGUACCACUAACCACGUGGUCAUCUGUGCCACAGAUUCCUACAGCCACCAUCUACAGAGUGAAGAGAAGAUGUUUAUAAAAGAUUGAUGUUCAACAUGAUCAAUGCCAAAUAAAUAUCAGAAUACUUGGAAGUAAAGUACUAAUAGUAGGAGUUCCUGAUUAUCAGGUGCCUAUGAUGUGACAGGCACAUUGUGGCCUGUGCUCGACCAGGAGACUGCUUUUCCAGGCUGAGAUCAAAGACGGAGAUGUGCCUACCCGCAGAUCCUAGAUGGCCAUGUUUGCAACAGAGGUAAUGAUGAGCAGUGCGAAGAUGUGACUCCAAAGCCUGGAGAAGGACAGACCAGCAUCCCUGCAAGAGAUCCAACUGUCUUCUUUUCCGCAGAGGUCCAUAAUUUACAUGGGCCUGACAAAGAAUACUGUAACUUGCAGAAAUUAUCUUCAGUUCAAAUCCUUCAUUUUGGGGGUUAAAUAACUUGGUAAGAUAAUGAGAUUAAUAUUAUUGUAAAGAUUGCUAGAAAGAAUUGUAACAGUUCAUGUAUGUGCAUAAAUAACAACCUUAAAGCAUGUUUUGGGAUGAGGUGCAAAAUGAAAAUUGGGAGAGGGACUUUAGUAGCAGUAAACAGAACUUGAGAAUGGAAUAGAUGCAUACUCUAUAGCACACUGCAAUAAAUAGAAUACAUUUUAAGUUCCUAGAGAAAUUUUUGAAAAUGCCACAUUCAAAGCCAUCAAUCCCUACUCAAUUAGCAUUUCAUUUUGAUUUUGGUACUGAAGCCCAAGAUGUCGAGGGAGCGGAAAUACUUGCUGGUCUUGCAGCGGCUGUGGAGCCUGGAAUCCUGCCAAGAAGAGCAUGUGUGAGAGAUCAAAAUGUUUGCUUACAUUCCUCCUGUGAAGGGAGUUGGGAAAUAACCUAAGAAGCCCAAUCCAAAAACAAAGAUGUACCAUCCAGUCUUCUCUGUGAGAACCAAACUACAAACCAUCUGAAUGUUCCAAAAGUGUUUUGAUGAUGUAUUGAUGUAUUUUAAAUUAUCCUGAAAAUGUUCUUGGCAGAUGCUUAAACAUGUAAUUACUGAGAUGAUGUAGAAAUACCAAGUGUUUAUUAAAACAAUACAGAGUAAUACAAAUGGUAUGUUUGUCGCAAUAUAAAAGUAUCUAAAAAUUAAAGAGUUCUUUAAUGGUGGAGAUUGUUUUCCUUUUUGAAGUUAAAAUAUAAAUUUUUGUAAAAAGCACAAAUUAUUACUAUUUAUAGCUAACAUUUAUGGAGUGCUGACUAUGCUCAUUUUUGAGCAUACAUUGCCUCAUUUAGUGCAAUGUUUAGCAUUAACUUAUGAGGUAAAUGCCAUUGCCAUGCACAUUGUACAGAUGAAGACAUUGAGGUUUAGAGAGAUUGCAU
rnacentral:lncRNA from 1 species